AACAUCACGAGAAGAGAGAGGAUGCCACGAUGGUAUAUGGGGAUAUAGGAGGGGCGGGGUGGUUCGCUUGAAGCAGAUUUGUAAUAAACGGUGGUUGGGUGAAGUAGCAGUGGGUGGAGUUACUUGAAAAGAUGCUCUGGGUGUUGGAGAAGUUGUCGCCUUCGCUCACCGAGCCAUGCGUAAGGAAGCGUGACCCGCCCUCGGUGAGAGGAGGAUGCUCGAGGAUGAGGCAGGAGCGGACAAGAGACCGGUCCAUCCGCUGAGCACAGCUAUGAAGAUCCAGGCCGGGGGCGAGCACAUUGGCGCCGGCAAGGGCGGCGAAAGCCAGGAAAGCCAGGUCAUCUGUUUGCAGUGUCAGGACGAGGUGCUGAGGGUCUGUCCGGGCAGCCCGCGCAGUCCGCGCCGCGCCAUCGCCACGCGCCUCUCCUCCGGAUCCGCAGACCGCGAGCCCAGCAGCAGCAGCUACAAUGUCUCUUCAGGAACCUUCUACAGCUGUGUCAGUCAGAUCACCAUUGGGAUCGACCUUGGGGGUCAAGUGGCCAUCGAGUUCUCCCACUGGAAGAGUCCCAUGGCGGCCCAUGGCCAGGACCUGCCAAGCCCGGAUUGCGUUCGCUCGGAGGCCUCCGCUGUCCCACCCAUCAGCGAGCACCUUGAGCCGGUGUCGUGCCCGGCGUCGCUGUCCGUCACGCCACUGCCCACCUGCAGCGCCAGCCAGGAGACGCUCUGCGACAGCAGCACAAGUGUGAGUUUAUCUCUACAUGGGUCUGAGCCCCAGCGGCAGAGCCCCCACCGACGCAACGUUCCGCUGCAGUCCUCAGCCUCCGGCUACCAGGCGACGGACAGACCCCUUGCCUUCUCCAUCCGUGCGAAGGCGAUCAUCAUGGAGGACACCUCAGCUGAAGCGCCCGACUCAAGCACUCAGGAUGAGGGGCCUCCCCUAGCUGCGAGGGACGUUAAUGUGCUUCUUGAGAGGGAAAGAACGGUGAGCAGCAGCAGCCCGACCGGAGACAACGACUCCACCCUACUGAACCCGGCGACCCACAGCAGCAUCCUGGACGACAACACAAAGUCAGACGCUGGCGUCCCCGAGGGUAGGAGCAGGUACAGUGGUCUCUGCUUCAGUGAUGGAAAGAGUCGCAUCGAUUACAUCCUGGUCUAUAGGAAGUCCAGCGCACAGUCCGAGAAGAGGGAGGUGUUUGAAAGGAAUGUCCGUGCAGAGGGCCUACACAUGGAAAAGGAGGCGUCUUUAACGAACAGCGACGUGAUUUUUCUCAAGCUCCACGCACCGUGGGACGUGCUGUGCCGCUACGCGGAGCUGAUGAACAUCCGGAUGCCUUUCAGGAGGAAAAUUUUUUACAUGCACAGACGGCACAAGUUUAUGAGCAGGAUGGAAAAGCGCAUCAACAAAUUUCGCGGCUGGCUUCCCCGCAAGCCCAUGAAGUUCGACAACAACACUCUGCCGGACCUGGAGGAGAACGAGAGCUUCACCGCCCCCUUCAGUCGGUCGAGGAUACAUCAUUUCAUCAUCCACAACAAAGACAGUUUUUUCAGCAACGCCACGAGAAGUCGGAUCGUGCAUCACAUCCUCCAAAGGGUCAGAUACGAGGAAGGGAAGAAUAAGAUGGGGCUUAACCGUCUUUUGAGCAAUAAUUCCUAUGAAGCGGCUUUCCCCCUUCAUGAGGGGAGCUACCACAGCAAAAAUCCUGUCCGAACGCACGGCGCCGAGAACCACCGUCACCUGCUGUACGAGUGCUGGGCCUGGUGGGGGGUCUGGUACAAAUACCAGCCGCUGGACCUCAUCAGGAGAUAUUUCGGGGAGAAGAUCGGGCUGUACUUCGCGUGGCUCGGCUGGUACACGGGGAUGCUCUUUCCCGCCGCAUUGGUUGGCCUUCUGGUAUUCCUGUACGGCAUCUUCACUUUGGAGCACUGCCAGGUCAGUAAAGAAAUCUGCCAGGCCACCAACGUCAUAAUGUGUCCCAUCUGCGACCAGUACUGCCCCUACCUGAGGCUGUCCGACAGCUGCAUCUACGCUAAGGUCACUCAUCUUUUUGACAAUGGGGCGACAGUUUUCUUUGCCGUAUUCAUGGCUGUUUGGGCAACAGUCUUCCUGGAGUUCUGGAAGAGACGCAGAGCCGUCCUCGCAUACGAUUGGGACCUCAUCGACUGGGAGGAAGAGGAGGAUGAAAUACGCCCUCAGUUUGAGGCAAAAUACUCCAAGAAGGAGAGAAUGAACCCCAUAUCUGGAAAACCAGAGCCAUACCAGGCCUUCACUGACAAAUACAGUCGCCUCAUUGUCUCAACAUCAGGGAUCUUCUUCAUGAUACUGGUGGUGAUUGCUGCUGUGUUUGGCAUCGUCAUUUACCGCGUGAUCACCGUCAGCACCUUCGCCGCCUUCGGCUGGGCUCUGAUCCGGAACAAUUCUCAGGUGGCGACUACGGGCACGGCGGUCUGCAUCAACUUCUGUGUCAUCAUGCUCCUGAACGUGCUCUAUGAGAAGGUUGCUCUCCUGCUCACCAAUUUAGAGCAACCGAGGACAGAGUCCGAGUGGGAGAACAGCUUCACCCUCAAGAUGUUCCUGUUUCAGUUUGUCAACCUUAACAGUUCAACAUUCUACAUCGCCUUCUUUUUGGGAAGAUUUACAGGCAGGCCUGGUGCAUAUCUACGCCUCAUCAAUCGCUGGAAACUGGAAGAAUGCCAUCCCAGCGGCUGCCUCAUCGACCUCUGCAUGCAGAUGGGGAUCAUCAUGGUGCUGAAGCAGACGUGGAACAACUUCAUGGAGCUUGGCUGCCCGCUGAUCCAGAACUGGUGGACACGGCGGAAACUGAGGCGAGAGCACGGACCCAACGCCAAGGCCUGCUUCCCUCAGUGGGAGCGCGAUUACCACCUGCAGCCCAUGAACGCCUAUGGGCUGUUCGAUGAAUACUUAGAGAUGAUUUUACAAUUUGGCUUCACCACCAUCUUCGUGGCGGCUUUCCCGCUGGCCCCGCUCUUAGCGCUGCUCAACAACAUCAUCGAGAUCCGCUUGGACGCCUACAAGUUUGUCACGCAGUGGCGGCGACCUCUGCCAACGCAAGCCAAAGACAUAGGGAUCUGGUAUGGUAUUCUGGAGGGCAUUGGCAUCUUGUCCGUCAUCACCAACGCCUUCGUCAUCGCCGUUACCUCAGACUUCAUCCCUCGCCUUGUUUACGCCUACAAGUACGGGCCGUGUGCGGGUCAGGGCCGGGCCGGGGAGGGCUGUAUGAUGGGUUAUGUCAACGCCAGCCUGUCGGUGUUCCGAGUGUCUGACUUUGAGAAGAGAUCAGAGCCCAGGACAAAUGGCACUGAGCUGUUCGGAGAGGCUGUGAAAUACUGCAGGUAUCGUGACUACAGGGAGCCUCCAGAUUCUGCUGAGCCCUACUCAUACACGCUGCAGUUCUGGCAUGUACUGGCAGCCCGGCUGGCAUUCAUCAUUGUGUUUGAGCAUAUGGUCUUCACUAUCAAGACCCUGAUUGCGUACCUGAUUCCAGACCUUCCCAAAGACCUGCGGGACCGUAUGCGCAGGGAGAAGUACCUUAUCCAGGAGAUGAUGUAUGAGGCCGAGCUGGAGAGGCUGCAGAAGGAGAAAAAUGAAAAGAAGAAGAAGAAGAAAGACAGGCCCCAUCACAAGGAAUGGCCCUGAAUGUACCCAACCAUUCCGGUUCAAGGUUACUCAGCUCUGUUUAUGCCCGGAGUUUCCAAAACUUGUCCGCUCAGGUGUGCUGCACACAGGAAGGAGAGAGGCGCUGGGUCUCCCGCAUGUCCGCAUCAUCCUCGUAUCUUCUUCAUGUCAUGUCAGAGCAGCGCCCCCGCGUGGACAGUGGUAAAAGUGCUCCCAACAGCAUUGCAGAAUGGACAGACCCCUUCUGAACGGAUGUAUUCUUUAACACUUAGCAGGUUUUGCUGCCCAUCACUUUUCUCUCUGGACUCUCAAUAAGUGUACAUCUUCAGAUGCUGAAUGUAGAUUUCAAGCAAGACUCUUGACUAUUGUGUUAGAUGAGAGAAUUAGACUCUCUCAAGCUUACUGAACAUUAAACUCUGUUUACAUUUCUCCUCAAUUGUUGAGUUCAUGUUUUGCAUUAUUGUAAAUAAAAGAUAUUUAAAUGAAUGCCAGGCCAUCUGCUCUGCUAAAGUGUAGUGCAACAAAAGACUGAAAUGACUCAAAGGACAAUGUCAAAGGUUUUUACAAGCCUCCUAUUGUUAGUCAGUAGCACAGAUGUAUUAAUUGUAUUUAAUAUUGCUUUUAUUUACUUUAUGUUAAUAUGUGUCUCUGCUUCUACCAGAAAACCUGAAAAUGACAUCAUCUAGAAGAGUUUAUGUUUUACUCCAUCAAGGUGUCAAGGUUACUCCUCCAGAUGACCUAACCUGAGUCACCUCCAGAUGAUGUCAGCAUGUGUUUCAGUUUGAAGUUAAAAAAAGCUGGUGAAACAAAAUGUAUUUUAUCCAAGCCAUGGCAGCGUGUCCACAAUUUGCCUAUAACACAAAUGCUUUCCAUUUGAAUUUAGAUUGAUAAUUGCUUUAAUAAACAUUAUUUAUUGUAAAGAA